CCUACGGGAGGCUGCAGUGGGGAAUAUUGGACAAUGGGCGAAAGCCUGAUCCAGCCAUGCCGCGUGUGUGAAGAAGGCCUUCGGGUUGUAAAGCACUUUCAGUGGGGAAGAAAGCCUUGGGGCUAAUACCCUCGAGGAAGGACAUCACCCACAGAAGAAGCACCGGCUAACUCCGUGCCAGCAGCCGCGGUAAUACGGAGGGUGCGAGCGUUAAUCGGAAUUACUGGGCGUAAAGCGCGCGUAGGCGGUCUGAUAAGCCGGUUGUGAAAGCCCCGGGCUCAACCUGGGAACGGCAUCCGGAACUGUCAGGCUAGAGUGCAGGAGAGGAAGGUAGAAUUCCCUGUGUAGCGGUGAAAUGCGUAGAGAUCGGGAGGAAUACCAGUGGCGAAGGCGACCUUCUGGACUGACACUGACGCUGAGGUGCGAAAGCGUGGGUAGCAAACAGGAUUAGAUACCCCUGUAGUC
rnacentral:rRNA from 1 species